CGGACGUCCACCGACCGGACCGCUCAACUUGGAAAAUGGUACAGCAUUCUGCCUGGAACACAUUUUCUGACAGUUCUCAUGUUUGUCCAAUGCCAAGUUGAAAGUGAUUUAAAGCUGUCUGAUUACAAGGCGGCGUCUUCUACUCUGUCCGAGAAUGUGCUGACUCAUUCUACUCGCCCCUGUACAUCAGUCUACAAAACUUUCAGAGGAGUUCCUCCGUCCGGUUCAUCGCUCACCCCAUAGAUAGCCGCCAACAAUGUAGUGUCUGACCAUACACUGGGCUCUUCCACUUGCUGCGUAAACAGCCGUCUGUCGAGCUAAUUUCACAAGGUUGCGAGCCAACCGGGGACGCAAAGAAGAGAGAGAAUAUAAUACUGUCCGAUUUGACAUUGGCGUAUGCGCUGUUUCCGGGCCCCUGCCACUAAUCCUGGGUCUUAAAGUCCGCAUGUAUCGAGCGACGACAUAUCGGCAGCUGAUCGUCGGCCGAUUCUCUUACGGUUUAAGCUUCUUAAAAUUACCGGGGCUCGGCUCUCGAAAUACGCAACGUUGGUGACGAGAGGCCGCGCGGGCGGAAUUAGAGCGUUUCUCAUAAUACCACCCCCGCAUGAGUCGACCGAGCGUGGCGGGACGCGGAGCACGGCGAAGAGGAGGGGGGAGAAGUUAUUGGAUACGACGGGGAACAAUUAAAUUGUAUCGUCGUCAGCGGGACGGAAUUAGCAAAUUUCCGGUCGGCGAUACGAUCGCCGGGAAAUCAGCGAUUUUCAAUUCGAUACCGAGCCAAUCGGAUCCGUCGAAUUUCUCUUCAGGGCCGUAGAGGGGGAGGUGGGACGCGGGCACCCCGAUUCAACGAGGGAAAUUACGAAAGCGAUAUCCAGGUCUUUCUUCGUCAAGUGGAGAGGCGGGGCUGCAAAGCCGUGCUCAGAGAAAUCCCCUUUAGAUUCUAUUGCCCGGUACAUCCCCUCACCCCCCUCGCACGGCCCUGCGUCCCAUUAGGUCGCGGUUAUUCGCCACGCAUCCGCCGCAUUAAACGUUACUCGCGAACCACAGUCGCUUUUUUUUCGAGUGGUCUUAAUUAACUUCCACCCCUCGCUUGGCUCCGGCCGUUUCGUCCCCCAACGGCGAGACCCUGUUUCAAUGAGAACCCGAUGAAGCUCUCUCGAUGACCGACCGCUGCAUUGGUCCUCGUGGCCGCCGGACAACAGCCAAUUGACACGCGGCGAUUUUCAUGCGCUUUUUGUCGAACCGAAGUUAAGGGAUGAAAAAUUUGGCUAACGUAACAUCGGCGAAAAAGAUCGUACGGCACUGUAACUUCGCUUGUUUUGAAGGGUGAAGUUUCUACUUUGAUACUGGUAAGCUCAUUUUUUUUUAACAAUCAUGCUCGUUUUUUGAUAAUUAAUUGACGAGCCAUAUGGUGUAUGUACUUUAUCUAGAAAUCUCGAGCGUGCAAUUAUCGACGUUUGAGCUAAUGUAACUCGAUUGAAAAAAAUCGUGCGACGACGUACUAUAGCUCAUUUUAAAGAGCCGAGCUUUUACUUUGAUUCCAGUCAGCUCGUUUUUUUAUCAACGUUCUUUAUCAUUUAAUAAUUAAUUGACGUGUGGUACGGUCCAUGUACUUCAUCUGGAAAUCUCGGAUAAAUAAUUACCGACGUUCGAGCGGUCGCAACAUUGUAAAAAAAAUCGUACGACAAUGUGCCUUACCUUAUUUUAAAGGGUAAUGCUUCUACUUUGAUUCUAGUAAGCUUGUUUUUUAUCAACGUUCUCUGUCAUUUAAUAAUUAAUUGACGAGUGGUAUGGUACAUGUACUUUAUCUGGAAAUCUAGGACAAAUAAUUACCGAUAUUCAAGCGGUCGCAACAUUGUAAAAAAAGAUCAUACGACAAUAUACUUUAUCUUAUUUUAAAGGGUAAA